AGGUGCGACCAUCCCAGCACUAGUGCUCUGAAUCCCAUCAGAACUUCACAGUUAAGUGUGCAUGGGUGAGAGUAGUACUGGGAUGGGUGACCUCCUGGGAAUUCCUUGUGUUGCUCCUU